CCUACGGGAGGCUGCAGUGGGGAAUAUUGCACAAUGGGGGGAACCCUGAUGCAGCGACGCCGCGUGAGUGAAGAAGUAUUUCGGUAUGUAAAGCUCUAUCAGCAGGGGAGAAGAUGACGGUACCUGACUCAGAAGCCCCGGCUAACUACGUGCCAGCAGCCGCGGUAAUACGUAGGGGGCAAGCGUUAUCCGGAUUUACUGGGUGUAAAGGGAGCGUAGACGGCAGGGCAAGUCUGGAGUGAAAGCCCGGGGCUCAACCCCGGGACUGCUUGUGAAACUGCCAUGCUGGAGUGCGGGAGAGGUAAGCGGAAUUCCUAGUGUAGCGGUGAAAUGCGUAGAUAUUAGGAGGAACACCAGUGGCGAAGGCGGCUUACUGGACAGUAACUGACGUUGAGGCUCGAAAGCGUGGGGAGCAAACAGGAUUAGAUACCCGUGUAGUC
rnacentral:rRNA from 1 species